rnacentral:tRNA from 1 species
GGGAAGAUAGCUCAGUGGUAGAGUGCUUGCCUUGCAUGCAUGAGGUCCUGGGUUCGAUUCCUCCGUGCCA